rnacentral:rRNA from 1 species
ACUCCUACGGGAGGCAGCAGUGGGGAAUAUUGGACAAUGGGCGAAAGCCUGAUCCAGCCAUGCCGCGUGUGUGAAGAAGGUCUUCGGAUUGUAAAGCACUUUAAGUUGGGAGGAAGGGCAUUAACCUAAUACGUUGGUGUCUUGACGUUACCGACAGAAUAAGCACCGGCUAACUCUGUGCCAGCAGCCGCGGUAAUAC